GGCGCUCUGCUGGGCCAUAACUGACGCUCAUGGACGAGAGCCAGGGGAGCGAAAGGGAUUAGAUACCCCUGUAGUCCUGGCCGUAAACGAUGAACACUAGGUGUCGGGGGAAUCGACCCCUUCGGUGUCGUAGCCAACGCGUUAAGUGUUCCGCCUGGGGAGUACGCACGCAAGUGUGAAACUCAAAGGAAUUGACGGGGGCCCGCACAAGCGGUGGAGUAUGUGGUUUAAUUCGAUGCAACGCGAAGAACCUUACCAGGGUUUGACAUCCUGCGAACCUCUAAGAAAUUGGAGGGUGCCUUCGGGAACGCAGUGACAGGUGGUGCAUGGCUGUCGUCAGCUCGUGUCGUGAGAUGUUGGGUUAAGUCCCGCAACGAGCGCAACCCACGUUUUUAGUUGCCAGCAUUCAGUUGGGCACUCUAGAGAGACCGCCGGUGAUAAACCGGAGGAAGGUGUGGAUGACGUCAAGUCAUCAUGCCCCUUACAUCCUGGGCUACACACGUACUACAAUGCUACGGACAAAGGGCAGCAAACUCGCGAGGGCAAGCAAAUCCCAUAAACCGUGGCUCAGUUCAGAUCGUAGGCUGCAACUCGCCUACGUGAAGCAGGAAUCGCUAGUAAUCGCAGGUCAGCAUACUGCGGUGAAUACGUUCCCGGGCCUUGUACACACCGCCCGUCACACCAUGGAAGUCGGCCACGCCCGAAGUCGUUACUCCAACCCUUGUGGAGGAGGACGCCGAAGGUGGGGCUGAUGACUGGGGUGAAGUCGUAACAAGGUAACC
rnacentral:rRNA from 1 species